GGUUUCGUGGCCCAAUGGCAAGGCGUCUGACUACGAAGAGCGAUUCAACAGCAGUGGGAUCAGUCUUGGUUGUAAUCAGGAGAUUCUGGGUUCGACCCCCAGCGAGAUCA